GGUUAAGCGACUAAGCGUACACGGUGGAUGCCCUGGCAGUCAGAGGCGAUGAAGGACGUGCUAAUCUGCGAUAAGCGUCGGUAAGGUGAUAUGAACCGUUAUAACCGGCGAUUUCCGAAUGGGGAAACCCAGUGUGAUUCGUCACACUAUCAUUAACUGAAUCCAUAGGUUAAUGAGGCGAACCGGGGGAACUGAAACAUCUAAGUACCCCGAGGAAAAGAAAUCAACCGAGAUUCCCCCAGUAGCGGCGAGCGAACGGGGAGCAGCCCAGAGCCUGAAUCAGUGUGU
rnacentral:rRNA from 1 species